UACGGGGGGGGGCAAGCGUUGUUCGGAAUUACUGGGCGUAAAGGGCUCGUAGGUGGCCAACUAAGUCAGACGUGAAAUCCCUCGGCUUAACCGGGGAACUGCGUCUGAUACUGGAUGGCUAGAGAUUGGGAGAGGGAUGCGGAAUUCCAGGUGUAGCGGUGAAAUGCGUAGAUAUCUGGAGGAACACCGGUGGCGAAGGCGGCAUCCUGGACCAACACUGACGCUGAGGAGCGAAAGCCAGGGGAGCAAACGGG
rnacentral:rRNA from 1 species